GAUGAACGCUAGCGGCAGGCCUAAUACAUGCAAGCCGAACGGCAAGUUUGAUAGCAAUAUUGGACCUAGAGUGGCGCAAGGGUGCGUAACACGUAUGCAACCUGCCCGCGACAGGAGGAUAGCUCUCCGAAAGGGGAAUUAACCCUCCAUAACACCAUGAGAAGGCAUCUGAUUAUGGUUAAACCGCAAGGGUUCGCGGAUGGGCAUGCGGUUGAUGAGUUAGUUGGCGGGGUAAAGGCCCACCAAGGUGGUGAUCAAUAGGGGUUCUGAGAGGAAGGUCCCCGACACUGGCACUGAGAUACGAGCCAGACUCCUACGAGAGGCAGCAGUAGGGAAUAUUAGACAGUAGUUGCAAGACUGAUCCGGCCAUGCCGCGUGCAGGAAGAAGGCAUUCUAGGUCGUAAACUGCUUUUUCCUGUGGAUAAAAUACCCGUGCGCGAGAAAUUGAAGGUAACAGGGGAAUAAGCCACGGCUAACUACGUG
rnacentral:rRNA from 1 species